CUGCAUGUCUGUCCGUAUGUCCUCCUGUCUGUUUCUAUGUAAACAAGUCUCUCAGUUUUAAAGUUAUCUUGCCAGUGGCGGAUUUACGGGAGUGGUUUUAGGGGUUCAAACCCCUACCAAAAAGCCCCGCAGAGCCGUAAAAAUAUCGUAUUUUUUUUCAAUCGAAAACCCCCCCACCAGAUUAAAAUUCUAAAUUUUAAACACCAGGCCAACAUAACCGCUUAGCAGGUGUAAAUCGAUCAGCUGAUCAGCUUAAAAUUGGCUUGUUCAGUGUUGAGCUCGUGACAAAUUAUUCUUGUCACGCCAACAACAACCACAUGGAAAUUAAUUAAUUACUUGUGCGCGGCGUGCUAUUUCGUGACACGCACAAAGAAUCAGCGUGGUUUCGCAUCUCUGAUCUGAUGUUUAAUUGGAAAUAACGGUUCUUUCGAGUGAUGCGGCGUUCUGAUUGGUGGAAACAGUGAGGGAAAGUGUGCCAAGGACAGUUAACUUAAAAAAGAACCGUUACUUAAGUAAAUUCAGUUGUACCAGCUGCAACCUGCUAUUGAUUAUGUUGGCCUGGUGUCAGAAAUCGAAUUUCAUAUUGAAAUUGGCUGGUUUCAAGAUCCCAAACACCAGGCAAACAGAAAGGCUUAGUAGGAAUCAACGAGAGCAGCUGGAGCCUGGGCGCCUUCCCUGCCUCCCUGGCACAUAAAACCAAGUUUGGGCCAGAUCCACAGCAGAGCAGGUCAGCGAGGGCUUCUACUUCUCCACUACUCUCUUUCCGGAACUUAUUCGCGGACGAUUAUUACUGGACGAGCAGAGCGAGGAGCAGAUAUUAGUUUUAUGAUAAGAAAAUUUAUUUGAAUUGUACAAACCUAAAAGCAUAAUGUUUAAUCAUAAUAUAAAAUAAUAGUAA